UNGGGNAUCUUGCGCAAUGGGNGAAAGCCUGACGCAGCCAUGCCGCGUGAGUGAAGAAGGCCUUCGGGUUGUAAAGCUCUUUUGUCAGGGAAGAAACGGCUCCGGCUAAUAUCUGGGGCUAAUGACGGUACCUGAAGAAUAAGCACCGGCUAACUACGUGCCAGCAGCCGCGGUAAUACGUAGGGUGCGAGCGUUAAUCGGAAUUACUGGGCGUAAAGCGUGCGCAGGCGGUUUAGUAAGUCUGUCGUGAAAGCCCCGGGCUUAACCUGGGAAUUGCGAUGGAGACUGCAAGGCUUGAAUCUGGCAGAGGGGGGUAGAAUUCCACGUGUAGCAGUGAAAUGCGUAGAGAUGUGGAAGAACACCGAUGGCGAAGGCAGCCCCCUGGGUCAAGAUUGACGCUCAUGCACGAAAGCGUGGGGAGCAAACAGGAUUAGAUACCCUGGUAGUCCACGCCCUAAACGAUGUCUACUAGUUGUCGGGUCUUAAUUGACUUGGUAACGCAGCUAACGCGUGAAGUAGACCGCCUGGGGAGUACGGUCGCAAGAUUA
rnacentral:rRNA from 1 species